UUAAGCGACUAAGCGUACACGGUGGAUGCCCUGGCAGUCAGAGGCGAUGAAGGACGUGCUAAUCUGCGAAAAGCGUCGGUAAGGUGAUAUGAACCGUUAUAGCCGGCGAUGUCCGAAUGGGGAAACCCAGUGCAAUUCGUUGCACUAUCGUUAACUGAAUACAUAGGUUAACGAGGCGAACCGGGGGAACUGAAACAUCUAAGUACCCCGAGGAAAAGAAAUCAACCGAGAUUCCCCCAGUAGCGGCGAGCGAACGGGGAGCAGCCCAGAGUCUGAAUCAGCUUGUGUGUUAGUGGAACGGUCUGGAAAGUCCGACGGUACAGGGUGAUAGUCCCGUACACCAAAAUGCACAGGUUGUGAACUCGAAGAGUAGGGCGGGACACGUGGUAUCCUGUCUGAAUAUGGGGGGACCAUCCUCCAAGGCUAAAUACUCCUGACUGACCGAUAGUGAACCAGUACCGUGAGGGAAAGGCGAAAAGAACCCCGGCGAGGGGAGUGAAAAAGAACCUGAAACCGUGUACGUACAAGCAGUGGGAGCACCUUCGGGUGUGACUGCGUACCUUUUGUAUAAUGGGUCAGCGACUUAUAUUCUGUAGCAAGGUUAACCGUAUAGGGGAGCCGCAGGGAAACCGAGUCUUAACUGGGCGUUAAGUUGCAGGGUAUAGACCCGAAACCCGGUGAUCUAGCCAUGGGCAGGUUGAAGGUUGGGUAACACUAACUGGAGGACCGAACCGACUAAUGUUGAAAAAUUAGCGGAUGACUUGUGGCUGGGGGUGAAAGGCCAAUCAAACCGGGAGAUAGCUGGUUCUCCCCGAAAGCUAUUUAGGUAGCGCCUCGUGAACUCAUCUUCGGGGGUAGAGCACUGUUUCGGCUAGGGGGUCAUCCCGACUUACCAACCCGAUGCAAACUACGAAUACCGAAGAAUGUUAUCACGGGAGACACACGGCGGGUGCUAACGUCCGUCGUGAAGAGGGAAACAACCCAGACCGCCAGCUAAGGUCCCAAAGUCAUGGUUAAGUGGGAAACGAUGUGGGAAGGCACAGACAGCCAGGAUGUUGGCUUAGAAGCAGCCAUCAUUUAAAGAAAGCGUAAUAGCUCACUGGUCGAGUCGGCCUGCGCGGAAGAUGUAACGGGGCUAAACCAUGCACCGAAGCUGCGGCAGCGACACUAUGUGUUGUUGGGUAGGGGAGCGUUCUGUAAGCCUGCGAAGGUGACCUGUGAGGGUUGCUGGAGGUAUCAGAAGUGCGAAUGCUGACAUAAGUAACGAUAAAGCGGGUGAAAAGCCCGCUCGCCGGAAGACCAAGGGUUCCUGUCCAACGUUAAUCGGGGCAGGGUGAGUCGACCCCUAAGGCGAGGCCGAAAGGCGUAGUCGAUGGGAAACAGGUUAAUAUUCCUGUACUUGGUGUUACUGCGAAGGGGGGACGGAGAAGGCUAUGUUAGCCGGGCGACGGUUGUCCCGGUUUAAGCAUGUAGGCUGGUUAUCCAGGCAAAUCCGGAUAAUCAAGGCUGAGGUGUGAUGACGAGGCACUACGGUGCUGAAGUAACAAAUGCCCUGCUUCCAGGAAAAGCCUCUAAGCAUCAGGUAACAUCAAAUCGUACCCCAAACCGACACAGGUGGUCAGGUAGAGAAUACCAAGGCGCUUGAGAGAACUCGGGUGAAGGAACUAGGCAAAAUGGUGCCGUAACUUCGGGAGAAGGCACGCUGGUGUGUAGGUGAAGUCCCUGCGGAUGGAGCUGAGACCAGUCGAAGAUACCAGCUGGCUGCAACUGUUUAUUAAAAACACAGCACUGUGCAAACACGAAAGUGGACGUAUACGGUGUGACGCCUGCCCGGUGCCGGAAGGUUAAUUGAUGGGGUUAUCCGUAAGGAGAAGCUCUUGAUCGAAGCCCCGGUAAACGGCGGCCGUAACUAUAACGGUCCUAAGGUAGCGAAAUUCCUUGUCGGGUAAGUUCCGACCUGCACGAAUGGCGUAAUGAUGGCCAGGCUGUCUCCACCCGAGACUCAGUGAAAUUGAACUCGCUGUGAAGAUGCAGUGUACCCGCGGCAAGACGGAAAGACCCCGUGAACCUUUACUAUAGCUUGACACUGAACAUUGAGCCUUGAUGUGUAGGAUAGGUGGGAGGCUUUGAAGCGUGGACGCCAGUCUGCGUGGAGCCAACCUUGAAAUACCACCCUUUAAUGUUUGAUGUUCUAACGUUGGCCCCUGACCGGGGUUGCGGACAGUGUCUGGUGGGUAGUUUGACUGGGGCGGUCUCCUCCCAAAGCGUAACGGAGGAGCACGAAGGUUAGCUAAUCCUGGUCGGACAUCAGGAGGUUAGUGCAAUGGCAUAAGCUAGCUUGACUGCGAGCGUGACGGCGCGAGCAGGUGCGAAAGCAGGUCAUAGUGAUCCGGUGGUUCUGAAUGGAAGGGCCAUCGCUCAACGGAUAAAAGGUACUCCGGGGAUAACAGGCUGAUACCGCCCAAGAGUUCAUAUCGACGGCGGUGUUUGGCACCUCGAUGUCGGCUCAUCACAUCCUGGGGCUGAAGUAGGUCCCAAGGGUAUGGCUGUUCGCCAUUUAAAGUGGUACGCGAGCUGGGUUUAGAACGUCGUGAGACAGUUCGGUCCCUAUCUGCCGUGGGCGCUGGAGAAUUGAGGGGGGCUGCUCCUAGUACGAGAGGACCGGAGUGGACGCAUCACUGGUGUUCGGGUUGUCAUGCCAAUGGCACUGCCCGGUAGCUAAAUGCGGAAGAGAUAAGUGCUGAAAGCAUCUAAGCACGAAACUUGCCCCGAGAUGAGUUCUCCCUGAGACUUUAAGUCUCCUGAAGGAACGUUGAAGACGACGACGUUGAUAGGCCGGGUGUGUAAGCGCAGCGAUGCGUUGAGCUAACCGGUACUAAUGAACCGUGAGGCUUAACCUU
rnacentral:rRNA from 1 species